UACAGAGGUCCCGAGCGUUGUUCGGAUUCAUUGGGCGUAAAGGGUGCGUAGGCGGCGGGGUAAGUUUGAUGUGAAAUUCCGGGGCUCAACCCUGGCAUGGCAUUGAAUACUACCUUGCUAGAGUACCGGAGAGGAAACUGGAAUUUACGGUGUAGCAGUGAAAUGCGUAGAGAUCGUAAGGAAGACUAGUGGCGAAGGCGAGUUUCUGGACGGUAACUGACGCUGAGGCACGAAGGCCAGGGGAGCAAACGGG
rnacentral:rRNA from 1 species